UACGGAGGGUGCGAGUGUUAUUCGGAAUCACUGGGCGUAAAGAGCACGUAGGCGGAUAGGUAAGUCAGAUGUGAAAUCCCGGAGCUCAACUCCGGAACUGCAUUUGAUACUGCUUGUCUUGAGUGAGGUAGAGGGGGGUAGAAUUCCCGGUGUAGAGGUGAAAUUCGUAGAUAUCGGGAGGAAUACCAGAGGCGAAGGCGACCCCCUGGGCCUCUACUGACGCUGAGGUGCGAAAGCGUGGGGAGCAAACAGG
rnacentral:rRNA from 1 species